ACGUGUGCAUUCCCGCGCUAGUUUAUAAACGCAGGGUUGAGGCAAGAGCGUCCACUUUAGACUGACGCCUUACGGGACGAUACCAGGUUUAAUACAGGGACAGCGACAGAUCACUAAAAUGGAUACGUGUAUGAAAGUCUUAUUUUGCCUGUACGCCAUUUCCAUGCUCAUGAUGGCCACGAGUAGAGUUACAAAUGCAUUGAGCAGUGACUUUGGAGG